rnacentral:rRNA from 1 species
UACGGAGGGUGCAAGCGUUGUCCGGAAUCACUGGGCGUAAAGGGCGCGUAGGCGGCUCAUGAAGGCUGUGGUGAAAGUCCGGGGCUCAACCUCGGAUCGGCCGUGGCGACUCGUGGGCUGGAGCACUGUAGAGGCGGGUGGAAUUCCGGGUGUAGCGGUGGAAUGCGUAGAGAUCCGGAAGAACACCAGUGGCGAAGGCGGCCCGCUGGGCAGUGGCUGACGCUGGAGGCGCGGACAGCGUGGGGAGCAAACAGG